UAGGGAAUCUUCGGCAAUGGGGGGAACCCUGACCGAGCAACGCCGCGUGAGUGAAGAAGGUUUUCGGAUCGUAAAGCUCUGUUGUUAAGGAAGAACGAGUGUGAGAAUGGAAAGUUCAUGCUGUGACGGUACUUAACCAGAAAGGGACGGCUAACUACGUGCCGGCAGCCGCGGUAAUACGUAGGUCCCGAGCGUUGUCCGGAUUUAUUGGGCGUAAAGCGAGCGCAGGCGGUUAGAAAAGUCUGAAGUGAAAGGCAGUGGCUCAACCAUUGUAGGCUUUGGAAACUGUUUAACUUGAGUGCAGAAGGGGAGAGUGGAAUUCCAUGUGUAGCGGUGAAAUGCGUAGAUAUAUGGAGGAACACCGGUGGCGAAAGCGGCUCUCUGGUCUGUAACUGACGCUGAGGCUCGAAAGCGUGGGGAGCGAACAGG
rnacentral:rRNA from 1 species